GAUGACACAGUAGGUCAGAAAACUUUCAGCUCUCCAAAUUUUCUACACAGAAAAAGACAGAAAAUUGCCUCAGAGGGAAUGAGUUGCAGCUGAAAUAAAAAAAAGUCAGGAUAGAGCAGUUGUUCUCCUAAGACAACCUAAGAAGACCCCAGGAAAAAUCCGACUUCCAGGGGCAGAGGUUCAACCUGAUUGAAGUGCAAACACCUCCAGUCCAACUCUGGCAAUCAACAAACAAUGAGCUCUGGGUCAGUUGGGCUUAGAAGGCCCCAGCCUUAGAAACUUUCAUCUCAUCAACAGUGCGAGGGUCUGAUGACUGAGUAGAAGAUUGAAGAACCUUCCACUGUCAAGGGAUGCCAAACACAGCUACGCUGAUGUGUCCAGGACUGGGCUGCUGCAGCAAGGGAGAAGGAGCUUGCAUAUGCCUGGAGAUUUGAUCAUCCCAUGUUCACAUGAGAGCAGUACUGAUUGAUAGGAACUUGCUAGAAUGCCACCUUGGGGAGAAGACACAUCACCUCUGACUAGACAAACAGGGAACUUUGUCCUGUGUACCAGCGUUAGACACGUUUACUGGAAACUUUAAGAAUCAGAUUGGUUGUUUGCUCCUAUAGGGGUUGGUUUUCGUAUUGUCAAAUAGAUAAUUGUACAUUGUCAAUUAAUGAAGAAAGAUUGCAAACAGUGA